CGAGUCAGCCAGGCAAUCGCUGUCCGCCUAGCGGAUGGAGGAAAGUCCGGGCUCCGUAGGGUAGACUGCCAGGUAACGCCUGGGCGGCGUAAGCCGACGGAAAGUGCCACAGAAAAUAUACCGCCCGACCACGCCAAUCUGGCGUGGUCAGGUAAGGGUGAAAUGGUGCGGUAAGCGCGCACCGCGCGGCCAGUAAUGGUCGUGGCAGGGCAAACCCCAGUUGGAGCAAGACCGAAUAGAGAUGCACUGGCGUGACCCGCGCUGCAUCUGGGUUGGUUGCUGGAGCUGCAUGGCGACAUGCAGUCGAGAUGAAUGAUUGUCCUCGACAGAACCCGGCUUAUCGGCUGGCUCAAUUC
rnacentral:RNase_P_RNA from 1 species